rnacentral:rRNA from 1 species
GCCAGCCGCCGCGGUAAUACGGAAGGUGCAAGCGUUAAUCGGAAUUACUGGGCGUAAAGCGCGCGUAGGUGGUUUGUUAAGUUGGAUGUGAAAGCCCUGGGCUCAACCUAGGAACUGCAUCCAAAACUAACUCACUAGAGUACGAUAGAGGGAGGUAGAAUUCAUAGUGUAGCGGUGGAAUGCGUAGAUAUUAUGAAGAAUACCAGUGGCGAAGGCGGCCUCCUGGAUCUGUACUGACACUGAGGUGCGAAAGCGUGGGUAGCGAACAGGAUUAGAUACCCUGGUAGUCCACGCCGUAAACGAUGACAACUAGCUGUUGGGAGACUAUGUCUUUCAGUGGCGCAGCUAACGCUUUAAGUUGUCCGCCUGGGGAGUACGGCCGCAAGGCUAAAACUCAAAUGAAUUGACGGGGACCCGCACAAGCGGUGGAGCAUGUGGUUUAAUUCGAUGCAACGCGAAAAACCUUACCUACUCUUGACAUACUUGGAGGCUCUUGUAAUGAGAGUGUGCCUUUUGGAACCAAGAUACAGGUGCUGCAUGGCUGUCGUCAGCUCGUGUCGUGAGAUGUUCCGUUAAGUCGGAUAACGAGCGCAACCCUUACCCUUAUUUGCCAGCGAUUCGGUCGGGAACUAUAAGGGGACUGCCGGUGAUAAACCGGAAGAAGGUGAGGACGACGUCAAGUCAUCAUGGCCCUUA